AGAGUUUGAUCAUGGCUCAGAACGAACGCUGGCGGCGUGCCUAACACAUGCAAGUCGAACGAGAAAGGGGCUUCGGCUCCGAGUAAAGUGGCGCACGGGUGAGUAACACGUAGGUAACCUGCCUCUAAGAUUGGGAUAACCUGUCGAAAGACGAGCUAAUACCAAAUAAGACCACAGUCUCCUCGGGGACAGGGGUCAAAGGUAGCCUCUAUUUAUAAGCUAUCGCUGAGAGAUGGGCCUGCGUACCAUUAGCUAGUUGGUGAGGUAACGGCUCACCAAGGCCAAGAUGGUUAGCUGGUCUGAGAGGAUGAUCAGCCACACUGGAACUGAGACACGGUCCAGACUCCUACGGGAGGCAGCAGUGGGGAAUAUUGCGCAAUGGGCGAAAGCCUGACGCAGCAACGCCGCGUGAGUGAUGAAGGCCUUCGGGUCGUAAAGCUCUGUCGGAGGGAACGAAUGCUCUUGAGGUUAACAGCCUCGGGAAGUGACGGUACCCUCAAAGGAAGCACCGGCUAACUCUGUGCCAGCAGCCGCGGUA
rnacentral:rRNA from 1 species